UACGGGGGGAGCAAGCGUUGUUCGGAUUUACUGGGCGUAAAGGGCGCGUAGGCGGUCGUGACAAGUCACUUGUGAAAUCUCCGGGCUUAACUCGGAACGGUCAAGUGAUACUGUCGGACUAGAGUGCAGAAGGGGCAACUGGAAUUCUCGGUGUAGCGGUGAAAUGCGUAGAUAUCGGGAGGAACACCAGUGGCGAAGGCGACUUCCUGGCCUGUUCUUGACGCUGAGGCGCGAAAGCUAGGGGAGCAAACGGG
rnacentral:rRNA from 1 species